rnacentral:rRNA from 1 species
UACGAAGGGGGCUAGCGUUGCUCGGAAUCACUGGGCGUAAAGGGUGCGUAGGCGGGUCUUUAAGUCAGGGGUGAAAUCCUGGAGCUCAACUCCAGAACUGCCUUUGAUACUGAAGAUCUUGAGUUCUGGAGAGGUGAGUGGAACUGCGAGUGUAGAGGUGAAAUUCGUAGAUAUUCGCAAGAACACCAGUGGCGAAGGCGGCUCACUGGCCCGAUACUGACGCUGAGGCACGAAAGCGUGGGGAGCAAACAGG